GGAUGUGAGGGCGAUCUGGUUGCUACAUCUGUCACCCCAUUGACCGCCAUUGAGCGGGCUGAUCUGGCCCGCUAGGCGGGUGUCCCCUUCCUCCCUCACUGCUCCAUGUGCGUCCCUCCCGAAGCUGGGCGCUGGGUCGAAGAGGACGACCUUCCCCGAUAGAGGAGGACCGUUCUCCCGUCAAGGGUAUUCGAGUAGCUGCGCUCCCCUGCUAGAACCUCCAAACAAGCUCUCAAGGUCCAUUUGUAGGAGAACGUAGGGUAGUCAAGCUUCCAAGACUCCAGACACAUCCAAAUGAGGCGCUGCACGUGGCAGUCUGCGUUUCUAA
rnacentral:snRNA from 1 species